AUGGCCUUUAGGAAAGGGCACUU
rnacentral:snRNA from 1 species